rnacentral:rRNA from 1 species
GACGUAGGAGGCGAGCGUUAUCCGGAUUCACUGGGCGUAAAGCGCGUGUAGGCGGCCCAGCAAGUCGGAUGUGAAAGCCCUGGGCUUAACCUAGGAAGUGCAUUCGAAACUGCUGGGCUUGAGUUCUGGAGAGGAAGGCGGAAUUCUCGGUGUAGAGGUGAAAUUCGUAGAUAUCGAGAGGAACACCGGUGGCGAAGGCGGCCUUCUGGACAGUGACUGACGCUGAGACGCGAAAGCGUGGGGAGCAAACAGG